AUUGAACGCUGGCGGCAUGCCUUACACAUGCAAGUCGAACGGCAGCACGGGUGCUUGCACCUGGUGGCGAGUGGCGAACGGGUGAGUAAUACAUCGGAACAUGUCCUGUAGUGGGGGAUAGCCCGGCGAAAGCCGGAUUAAUACCGCAUACGAUCUACGGAUGAAAGCGGGGGACCUUCGGGCCUCGCGCUAUAGGGUUGGCCGAUGGCUGAUUAGCUAGUUGGUGGGGUAAAGGCCUACCAAGGCGACGAUCAGUAGCUGGUCUGAGAGGACGACCAGUCACACUGGGACUGAGACACGGCCCAGACUCCUACGGGAGGCAGCAGUGGGGAAUUUUGGACAAUGGGCGAAAGCCUGAUCCAGCAAUGCCGCGUGUGUGAAGAAGGCCUUCGGGUUGUAAAGCACUUUUGUCCGGAAAGAAAUCCUUGGCCCUAAUACGGUCGGGGGAUGACGGUACCGGAAGAAUAAGCACCGGCUAACUACGUG
rnacentral:rRNA from 1 species